GAUGAACGCUGGCGGCGUGCCUAAUACAUGCAAGUCGAGCGAACAGACGAGGAGCUUGCUCCUCUGACGUUAGCGGCGGACGGGUGAGUAACACGUGGAUAACCUACCUAUUAGGCUGGGAUAACUUCAGGAAACCGGAGCUAAUACCGGGUAUUAUAUUGAACCGCAUGGGUUAGUAGUGAAAGACGGUUUGGCUGUCAGUUAUAGAUGGAUCCGCGCCGUAUUGGCUUGUUGGUGGGGUAAUGGCUUUCCAAGGUGACGAGGGGUAGCGGGCCUGAGGGGGUGAGCGGCGACACUGGGACUGAGAGAAGGCACCGACACGGACUGGUGGCAGAUGUGCGGAAUACUGAACGAUCGGUGGCAGCCGGAUGAAGAAGCGCUGCGUGUGGUAUGACGGCGUUAUGGUUGUAAAACGCUUUCGCACGUGACGAAGCUUUGUGUGACGGUAGCUGGUAAAGAAGCACCGGCUAACUACGUG
rnacentral:rRNA from 1 species